AAUUGCUUUGAGCAAGAAUUUUGUGAAAGUUGUGUCAUGGUAUGACAACGAAUGGGGUUACAGUUCCCGUGUGAUUGAUUUGAUCUGCCAUAUGGCUAAGGCUUGAUUGAUGCUGCUGGGGAGCAAAAGACAGCAAUGUGUUUUAGUUUUUGCUUGGAAGUACUAUUAGUUUUGUGGGCCUGGAGUGGUCUUUCUUGUUUAUGUGUAAUUGAAUAACCAGAGAAGAACGGAACCCUGUUGUUAUCUUUGAGGAAAUCUUUUUUAUUGUUUGACUUUGUCAUGAAUGAAACAAUCAAACUUUACUUUUCUCUUGCCA
rnacentral:misc_RNA from 1 species